rnacentral:rRNA from 1 species
AUACGUAGGGGACGAGCGUUGUCCGGAAUUACUGGGCGUAAAGGGCGCGCAGGCGGAUAUUUAAGUCAGCUGUAAAGGCAUGAGCUCAACUCAUGUAUGCGGUUGAAACUGGGUAUCUAGAGUGCUGGAGAGGUAGGCGGAAUUCCCGGUGUAGCGGUGAAAUGCGUAGAUAUCGGGAAGAACACCAGUGGCGAAGGCGGCUUACUGGCCAGCAACUGACGCUGAGGCGCGAAAGCCAGGGGAGCGAACGGGAUCAGACACCCCGGUAGUCCUGGCCGUAAACGAUGAAUGCUAGGUGUGGGUGUCGAGAGGCAUCCGUGCCGGAGUUAACGCGAUAAGCAUUCCGCCUGGGGAGUACGAUCGCAAGAUUGAAACUCAAAUGAAUUGGCGGGG